CCUAUUGCCACUGUCCUGAGAAAGGGUCUACGAAUGUCUGAGUCUCAGUCUCCUCCUCGACUCACAUAAUCUAGGUUUAAAUCUAGCUUUGUCACCUCGUGGCUGUGUGAUUUUUGACAAGUUACUUAAACCUGAUCCGCAGGUACUACAGCUUUAAAAUGGGGCCAACAGAAGUACCUUGAACGCAGGUGUUGCUCAGAUUUCAGGCAAUAAGCAUGAAGUGCUCACCACAGCUUCUGAUCUAUCAUCAGAGCUCGUCUCCUUGUGGUUGCUCCUGCUCUUACGAGUCGGCAUAGAAAGGAGGCUGGUGUUCCAGGCUCACCCUGGUGGCCCGUCCCAAUUGUUACCCGCAGACAACCAUGCUCCAGAAACAGAUGAUCCUCUUUCUGAGGGAUGGUCAGAAGGUCAGCAGUAGCCUAACUCUAGGUCACAAUGCCUACGUCAUUCACCUCACUUUAUCCUGUUACACAGAAAGCAUUGGCUUUACCAUUUUUUAGUUGAAGAAACUGAAGCUAGAAAAUUAAAGCCACAAAGCUAGGAGGCGAUGCAGCAGAAAUUUGAACCCAGGACAUGCUGGUGCGACUGCAAACCCAAGUGAUUUCCACUCUCUGUGCUGCCUCCCUGGAAGGCCUGAAUGCACUCUUGACGGGCUGUGUUGGGUCGUGAGCAUCAGUCUGGCUCAUGGCUUCCUUCAGUGCAGAGGAAGUUAACACCGGAGGGAACAGAUGAGCGGAUAAUGUGAGCCUGGAAAUAUGACUUUGCUGCACUUCACCAGAUGAGUUCGAGCGGAAUACCAGAUGGUGCUACCUCAUUUGUGUUUUUACAAAUAUGCAAUUCUUUUAUUUUUUUAAAGAAGAAAUAGAGAUCAUGUUGGUCCCAGGAAAAUAUAAAAAUUCUUAUGUUUUGCUGCAAUGUUGCCUUGUUGUCCUAUCUCAUAUAAGGAUGAUAUAAGCCUUAUUACAACAUAUAUGUGUGUUUUAAGAUUUUUAUAAUACUUUGUUUAAAAUACCCCUGUAUUUUUCCUGUUAUAAAGCAAUAUGUGUUCAUACUAAAACAUUUAGAACAUAUAGAUAAGUAAUAAUACUACCAUACUGAAUUGGCGACUGUUAACUAUUUGGUGCAUAUCCUUUCAUAAAUAUAUUGAUGCAUUUUUCUCAAGAGCUCCACUUUUAAAAUGUUCUUAACUGUACCAAAGAUGCUGAUUGGACAAAUGUUUCUUUAGGCUUUAUGAUCUUCUCAACAAACACUUUUAUUCAUCUCAUUACCGGGCACUCCUGUCCACACAAUUGCUCAUGCUGGAUAUCUAGCAGUCAGUUUUGGUACCUCCUUCUCCCCUCACCUCCCACAUCUGAUCUGUUACCAAGUCCUAUUGAUUCUACCUGUCUUCAUCCACCUUGCUGCAUCUCCACUGCCAUCACGUGCUUACUGGCCCAUGCAAAUAUUUCUUGCUGCCUGGAAUGCUCCCCUUUGUUCAUCUCCGUACCUCUUGCUCUCCCGAGGCCCCUUCCCUCUUGUCUUCACCUUCCUAAUAACUGCUUGCCCUUUAGAUUUCAUUUUUUGGUAUCAUUUCUUCCAGGAAACCCUUUCUGAUAAACCCAUCCAGACUGGAUUUGGUAUGUCUUCUGUAUGCUUUCUUAGCACCAUAUAUACGUCUCUAUUAUGCCACUUUUCACCCUGGAACUGCACCCUGUUUACCUUGCCGUGUUCCUCACUGUGUUCACUUAGCAAGUGCCUGCCCUUGCAGGUGAUUGAUACGUAUUGUUGGAUGGAUGAAUGGGCAUAGUAGGAAAUUAGGUUUAAUGGGAUCAGUUUUGGCCUCUGAGAACCAUAUUGAUUUUUGAGUAAAGGAGUGAUGCAGAAACACCUGACUUUAGAACUGGUAGUUUAUGGAGGACAAAUUGAAAAGAAAUGAGGUAAACUAAAGAGUACUACCAGGAGAUUGCUGCCUGAUUGAAGGGGAAAGUACCAACAACAUUGACUCUUGUUAUUGGGAAUAGGAAGGUACGAAUAUGAGGUCCCUCAAAUGAAUAAGCAAAGACCUGCUCCUGGUCACUCUUGGGUUAAAUAAUGCAAGUGGAACUGUCAGGGGUCCAUCCCAAAUAGCUCAGACAGACAAUUCUAACAGAAGAGGUGAUGGCUACAGGCUAG
rnacentral:lncRNA from 1 species